GAUAAGAAUGGACUGGCUAAGCCCUCUUUUCUUUAAGAAAACAGCUCCCACACUUGUGCAGGCCAAAAUAAUUAAGUAAUUAGCAAAGGCAUUUGUCAAAAUGCCCAGUGGGGCUGACGAAAAUGACAGCUUUGAGAAGGAUGAAGAGUUUGCAAAUAGCAUUUUCUCCCAGCUCCAGGUUGGGGUCAGGCCUGGGGCCUGUGAGGAACACGCCUGCCUGGGACUCCGGGGUCCCAGCUCAACCUUUGGGGUUCAAGUUCACUUCCCUGUGGCAAAAGCCAAGCUCCUAUUUCUAAGGAGGCAGUCUUGAAAGGCCUUUGGAACAUCAAAGGACUCCCCAAACACAGAAUGAUCGUGUGACGCAAGUCAAGUUCUAGGAAACCUAGCCAAGGAAACAACAGUAAGUCCAAAUGAGCUUCAAGUGGAUCAGCUGUUGUUCACAAGUGAACAGAACGUUCUUAUCAGGAGAGAGGCACACAGUGAUUUUGAACAGGUAAAUGGCACUAUGAGAGCGCAGGCUACACGUCCUGGUUUAGGAGCCAUACUUUGUGGAAAGGUGAGAGUUGAAGCAUGACCUUCCACUGAGAGCCAGGUUCUCACUAUGCUGCCCAGCCUGGACUUCAAACUACGGGGCUCAAGUGAUCCUCCUGCCUCAGACUUCUGAGUAGCUGAGACUGCAGGCGUAAGCCACCAUGCCCAGUUUUGACUAUUAACUUUUAAGGUAACUCACUGAGGAGAGUUCACAUUCUCUUGGCCAUGACCUUGGUGGCCUCACCUCCUGACCCACCCCUAAGGGUCACCAUCAUCCUACCCUAGACUGCUCACCCUUACAGCUCUUCCUCUCUUUUUUUGGUGAAUUUUCACAUUUAAUUUUAAACAUAAAUCUUUUCAUACUUUAAGACAAGUCAAACAGCUCCUAUAGGUAUACGUAUUUGUGUGCAUGUAUGUAUAUGUAUAGCUUGGUAUGUAAUAUAAUACCCAGCUGUGUCUAGCACUAGGCAUGGUAUUUAUGCACGAUUCAUCUUUUCACAUGUCGUAUUUAGAUUUUUAUUCCAAAUUUUGCAAGGUACUUUAAGUUGAGCUUUAUUCUCUGAUUAGAGGAGUUUUCUCUCCGUUCAGAAUUACUUGAGUUUGUUUCCCUGAUUUGAAAAAAAAAAAAAUAAUGCUUAUGAUAGUCAAAUAAAUUUGCAUAUAUAUAAUUAGCUGAGAUUAGUUUCCCUAGAGAAUGGUAAUGAGAUCCAAAAAUAAUAAUGAAGAACUUGAUGAAACAUUCCCUGUUUAUAGUGAACCUAAAUGAUACUAAUUAUAUCUUUAACAAAGUUUUGAUUGAAGGCCACAUGGGAUUAUAGGUGAAACUUUGUUCUCACUUUAUGAAUAUAUUAAAUGUCGCAAGUCUUAUCUUUCAUGUAUCAAGGAAUCAAACUCAGUCCACGUGGAAUAGCAACAAUACUAUGUGCCAGGCACUGUCCUAAAUGCUUUGGAUAACUGGAUCACCUGAAUAUCCCUGGGAAGGAAGAAUAAUCAUUAUCACCAUUUUACAGAUGAGGAACAGCGAGCUAACUACCUUGCCCAGACAGUAGGGAAAGCACCAGAAUGUAGUCGCUAUGCUGUACUGCACGCAACAUCUAUGAUCGAGGCAUAUGAUCAAGGCAUAGCCAUCCACAGAGACGAUUUAAUUGAAUUAGGCAAGUAAGAGAAUAUUGAACAACAAUGACACUUGACAUGUUGGAUGCUGGCACUCAGUGCAGGUUGGGAGAAUAAAUUACUUCCUUUGAAAUCUGCGAACAUUUCCUCUUUUCCAUAGACAUGGGCUGCUGGUAAUAAAAUAUGUAGAAAAUGAAAUUUUGGGAGCUUUACUUGUGUUUCUAAGGCUAGUUAUUCAG
rnacentral:lncRNA from 10 species